GGAAUCUUCGGAUUCUAGUGGCGGACGGGUGAGUAACGCGUAAGAAUCUAACUUCAGGACGGGGACAACAGUUGGAAACGACUGCUAAUACCCGAUAUGCCGCAAGGUGAAACCUAAUUGGCCUGGAGAAGAGCUUGCGUCUGAUUAGCUAGUUGGUGGGGUAAGAGCCUACCAAGGCGACGAUCAGUAGCUGGUCUGAGAGGAUGAGCAGCCACACUGGGACUGAGACACGGCCCAGACUCCUACGGGAGGCAGCAGUGGGGAAUUUUCCGCAAUGGGCGAAAGCCUGACGGAGCAACGCCGCGUGAGGGAGGAAGGUCUUUGGAUUGUAAACCUCUUUUCUCAAGGAAGAAGUUCUGACGGUACUUGAGGAAUCAGCCUCGGCUAACUCCGUGCCAGCAGCCGCGGUAAUACGGGGGAGGCAAGCGUUAUCCGGAAUUAUUGGGCGUAAAGCGUCCGCAGGUGGUCAGCCAAGUCUGCCGUCAAAUCAGGUUGCUUAACGACCUAAAGGCGGUGGAAACUGGCAGACUAGAGAGCAGUAGGGGUAGCAGGAAUUCCCAGUGUAGCGGUGAAAUGCGUAGAGAUUGGGAAGAACAUCGGUGGCGAAAGCGUGCUACUGGGCUGUAUCUGACACUCAGGGACGAAAGCUAGGGGAGCGAAAGGGAUUAGAUACCCCUGUAGUCCUAGCCGUAAACGAUGGAUACUAGGCGUGGCUUGUAUCGACCCGAGCCGUGCCGAAGCUAACGCGUUAAGUAUCCCGCCUGGGGAGUACGCACGCAAGUGUGAAACUCAAAGGAAUUGACGGGGGCCCGCACAAGCGGUGGANUAUGUGGUUUAAUUCGAUGCAACGCGAANAACCUUACCAAGACUCGACAUGUCGCGAACCCUNNNAAAGCUGGGGGUGCCUUCGGGAGCGCGAACACNGGU
rnacentral:rRNA from 1 species